rnacentral:rRNA from 1 species
UGGGGAAUCUUGCACAAUGGGGGCAACCCUGAUGCAGCGACGCCGCGUGAGCGAUGAAGCCCUUCGGGGCGUAAAGCUCUUUCGACCGGAACGAUAAUGACGGUACCGGGAGAAGAAGCUGCGGCUAACUACGUGCCAGCAGCCGCGGUAAUACGUAGGCAGCAAGCGUUGUUCGGAGUUACUGGGCGUAAAGCGUGCGUAGGUGGUUCGUUAAGUCUGAUGUGAAAGCCCUGGGCUCAACCUGGGAAUGGCAUUGGAAACUGGCUGACUGGAGUGCGGUAGAGGGUAGCGGAAUUCCCGGUGGAGCAGUGAAAUGCGUAGAGAUCGGUAGGAACAUCUGUGGCGAAGGCGACUGCCUGGACCAGCACUGACACUGAGGC